AUGGAGGGGAACUCAGGGAACUGAAACAUCUAAGUACCUGAAGGAAGAGAAAGAAAUUCGAUUCCGCUAGUAGCGGCGAGCGAACGCGGAAGAGCCCAAACCAAGUCAGUUUACUGAUUUGGGGUUGCGGACAUAUCUUAAGGAAAGGUUAUUGCGAGUAGAAUAGGUCUGGAAAGACCAACCACAGAGGGUAAAAGUCCCGUAUACAAAGCCAAGAAAGUUCUUGAUAUGAUCCAGAGUACCACGAGACACGUGAAACCUUGUGGGAAGCAGGGGGGACCACCCUCCAAGGCAAAAUACCAGUAUGGACCGAUAGCGCAUAGUACCGUGANNNNNNNNNNUGAGGGAAAGGUGAAAAGAACCCCGGGAGGGGAGUGAAAUAGAACCUGAAACCCUACACUUACAAGCUGUGGGAGCGCAUUAUUCGCGUGACCGCGUACUUUUUGUAGAACGGGCCAACGAGUUACGUUAUGUGGCAAGGUUAAGCACUUAAGGUGUGGAGCCGAAGCGAAAGCGAGUCUUAACUGGGCGCCAUAGUCACAUGACGUAGACCCGAAACCGGGCGACCUACCCAUGAGCAGGAUGAAGCGAAAGUAAAAUUUCGUGGAGGUCCGAACCCACGUACGUUGAAAAGUGCGGGGAUGAGGUGUGGAUAGCGGUGAAAUUCCAAUCGAGCCCGGAGAUNNNNNNNNNNCGGAGAUAGCUGGUUCUCCCCGAAAUAGCUUUAGGGCUAGCCUUGAAAUUUAGAGAUGUGGAGGUAGAGCACUGAAUGUCCUAGGGGGUAUUGCACUUACCGAAGACUAUCAAACUCCGAAUGCCAUUAUCUUUUGUUCAGGAGUCAGACUAUGGGUGAUAAGGUUCAUAGUCGAAAGGGAAAGAGCCCAGACCGUCAGCUAAGGUCCCUAAAUGUAUGUUAAGUGGUAAAGGAUGUGGGAUUGCACAGACAACCAGGAUGUUGGCUUAGAAGCAGCCAUUCAUUUAAAGAGUGCGUAAUAGCUCACUGGUCGAGUGAUCCUGCGCCGAAGAUUUCCGGGGCUAAAACAUACUACCGAAGCUACGGCAUCAUAUGAUGAUGGGUAGGGGAGCUUCCCAUGCAGGCUGAAGCGAUACCGUAAGGAGUCGUGGACAGUAUGGGAGAGAGAAUGUUGGCAUGAGUAGCGAGAUGAGGGUGAGAAUCCCUCAGGCCGUAAACCCAAGGUUUCCAGGGGAAGGUUCGUCCUCCCUGGGUUAGUCGGGCCCU
rnacentral:rRNA from 1 species